rnacentral:rRNA from 1 species
CUCCGGGAAACUGGGAGUAAUGCCUUAUUAGAUACGUUUGUCGCAUGGCAUUUGUAUUAAACGCUCCGGCGCCAUAGGAUGGACCCGCGUCCCAUUAGCUAGUUGGUGAGAUAACAGCUCACCAAGGCCACGAUGGGUAACCGGUCUGAGAGGGCGAACGGUCACACUGGAACUGAGACACGGUCCAGACUCCUACGGGAGGCAGCAGUGGGGAAUAUUGCGCAAUGGGGGCAACCCUGACGCAGCAAUACCGCGUGAGUGAAGAAGGUUUUCGGAUCGUAAAGCUCUGUUAUUGGGGAAGAAAAAAAGACGGUACCCAAGAAGAAAGUUCCGGCUAACUACGUGCCAGCAGCCGCGGUAAUACGUAGGGAACAAGCGUUGUCCGGAUUUACUGGGCGUAAAGGGCACGCAGGCGGUUUUCUCCGGGAAACUGGGAGUAAUGCCUUAUUAGAUACGUUUGUCGCAUGGCAUUUGUAUUAAACGCUCCGGCGCCAUAGGAUGGACCCGCGUCCCAUUAGCUAGUUGGUGAGAUAACAGCUCACCAAGGCCACGAUGGGUAACCGGUCUGAGAGGGCGAACGGUCACACUGGAACUGAGACACGGUCCAGACUCCUACGGGAGGCAGCAGUGGGGAAUAUUGCGCAAUGGGGGCAACCCUGACGCAGCAAUACCGCGUGAGUGAAGAAGGUUUUCGGAUCGUAAAGCUCUGUUAUUGGGGAAGAAAAAAAGACGGUACCCAAGAAGAAAGUUCCGGCUAACUACGUGCCAGCAGCCGCGGUAAUACGUAGGGAACAAGCGUUGUCCGGAUUUACUGGGCGUAAAGGGCACGCAGGCGGUUUU